UAGGGCAGCAUGCUAGGGAAGAUUUAAUCAGACUGCACGGUACAUGUAUAUAGCUACAUUCGAGAUGAUUGACGAUGUUAGCUUGUUAGGAUUCCUCCCUGCUAAGGGAUAUGUAUAGAUGAGGGAGACUAGCAUGUAUGUAUGCAUAUUGAGCAAUAAGACAAGGCUGCAGGGUUGACAAUUUGAACCUUUGUUCAUGUGUGUCCUUCGAUUUGUUAUGUUGAUAACUAGUAAUGUUGGCAGCACCACUGGAUAGAUUUUUUGAUAAAAAGAAGCCAAAUGUGUAAUCCACUCAUUACUGUUUGUUGGAAACAGCCAAAUGAGACAGCAUCAAAUAGGCGUUCUUAGUUAAAAUGGUUAAAGAAAUUGUUACAGGUCUUAUUAUUUAGCAGAGGUAAGAUAUUAAUAGAAGAAGCAUAUGUUAGUAAAUUUUAAAUUGGUCAAUUAGUUUUGGGUGAGAGAAUCAUAUUAAAUAAAUUUAGUAUUUGUUGUCAACUGGAAAAUUUGCAAUAGUGAAUCUGAACAUUGACAACCAGAAGUUGAGAUUUUCUUCAGUUAGCUUAAGAAUCUUGGGUCACUACCCUCCAUUCUGUCAUUGCAAUUCUUUUCUUUACCAGCUAAGCUAGUCACUAUUUUCUGUCAAUCAUAAAACAAAAGACCAAAAACAUAAUGGUAUAUUUAUAAAGAUAUGCCUAAUUAAUUGCAUCAUAAUUAUCACUAUCCUAAUUGAUAAAAUAGAAA
rnacentral:sRNA from 1 species